GUGGCUAUAGCUCAGUUGGUUAGAGCACCGGUUUGUGGUACCGGGGGUCGCGGGUUCGAAUCCCGUUAGCCACCCCA
rnacentral:tRNA from 1 species